AAAAAGACAAACUGUGAGUUCUCAUGCCAACGUUUGACUGUCCGUCUUAUAUAAAAUUUUUUAUAAUUAGUAUUUUUAUUGUUGUUAGAUAAUAAAACAUGAUUAAUACUUUAUGCGUGAUUUAUCUUUUUAAUUUUUUUCAUAAUUUUUUUAAAUAAGACGGACGGUCAAACGUUGAACACGGUAACCAAGGUUUGUCUUUUUU
rfam:Oryza sativa Japonica Group DNA, chromosome 5, cultivar: Nipponbare, complete sequence.